GAGUUUGAUCUUGGCUCAGGAUGAACGCCGGCGGUGUGCUUAAUACAUGCAAGUCGUACGCACUGGCCCAACUGAUUGAUGGUGCUUGCACCUGAUUGACGAUGGAUUACCAGUGAGUGGCGGACGGGUGAGUAACACGUAGGUAACCUGCCCCGGAGCGGGGGAUAACAUUUGGAAACAGAUGCUAAUACCGCAUAACAACAAAAAGCCACACGGUCUUUUGUUGAAAGAUGGCUUUGACUAUCACUCUGGAUGGACCUGCGGUGCAUUAGCUAGUUGGUAA
rnacentral:rRNA from 1 species